rnacentral:lncRNA from 1 species
GUGCAGGGCUCACCCUAGCUUCGGAGAACGAAGGCUUUCUCUGAUGGGUCUCUGCUCCUGAGCGUGUCACAAGCUCUUGAAAAACCACACGGAACAACCCAGAAAUAGCCAACAGACCAAAGGGAAAACGGUUUGGAGCCAGUUCCACAAAGCGACGGCUUGGUCACCAGGAUGGUGCUGACUGGACAGUGGAGAGCCUUUAGGAGAUGGAGCCUUCGCAAGGGAUUAUGGGAAUUUACUCUCCACACUCUGCUACAUCCUGGCUCCCAUGAAGCUCCUCUGGACGGCAGCAUCACCCCAUGACACGUUACAAGUUCCACAAUUACAGCUGAUUUCAUAUUACAUUUCACGGUGACUGCUUGCUGACGACCUAGAGACGUUCUUCAUUCCUGCACGCCGGCUGCCUCCCGACCACAGCGCAAAGUGACUCUUGUGCCCGUGUGCUGCUGGCCACCAGCUCAGCCAACAGGCCACAACAGCCAUGACCUUGUCCUGGGUGUCAGGGUGACUUGAGGACCACUCUCUACAAACAGUGGAGACUCCUACAGUGAAAGCCUCAAGUUGUAUCUGCUUCCAAGAGGGAGAUGGAGAGUCAGAGUCCCCCGAGGAUUUGAAUAACAGCAGAGAAAAAGCUGAGCUAGAUAGAGUGGCUUGGUGGCUGGAGAGAUGGCUCAGCGGUUAAGAGCACUGACUGCUCUUCCAGAGGUCCUGAGUUCAAUUCCCAGCAACAACAUGGUGGCUCACAGCCAUCUGUAAUGGGAUCUGAUGCCCUCUUCUGGUGUGUUUGAGGACAGCUACAGUGUACUCAUAUACAUUAAAUAGAGUGGCUCAGCAAUCCCUUGAGUGGGGGCAUUACUCCUCCCAUGGCCAAGCAGGUCCUAUUGUUCCUAUUGUCUAAAGCUCUAGAAGGUUUAAAGAAUCCAGCUCCCACAGAGCUAGCUGUGCUGGACUUUCUCACCCUAUUACCCAGCUGGUUAUCACAAAAGCCCUGCCGCCUCCUACCACCCACCUGUGGCUAUCCACACUUCAUCCAGCCUCGGCCUCCAGCUCCACCGUCACCUCCAUAGAACAGAGAUGGCACUAGACGCAAUGUGUGUAUGGGAGAGGGGUACUUUGUCACAGCAACCUGGGAAAACCCUGGGGAACAGACUAAGCCAGGCCCUGUUGUUGGGGGUGGGGGGUGAGUGGUAGUGAGGAGAUGGAGGGACAGACAGACAAAAAUGAAACUCAGUCACACAGCAGGCUCAUUUAUAAGUUUAUCAUCCAGGCACUACUUUCUCUGUGCUCUAUGAAGAAAUCAAGCUGAGGGUGGUUAGGGAGUGCCCCAAGAGCACAAGUCAGGUGUUGAUCUUGGGGCUGCCUAAAGCCACGUGUGUGUUCUAAACUAUAUCGUACCAGAGAAGAGAGAUGGAGGGCUAUGAGUGCUUACAAGAGAUCGGCGGGAAGGAAAGGAAAAAACAGCUGCCAGGAGCCAACGGGAAAAGGCUGAGAGAAAAGCAUCUAGAAAUGUCAACACUUGGAAACUUCUAAAAAGAUAAAAGACCUUUCGUGAUGAAAUAGUUCUGAGUGCUGGUACCCAACCUAACUUUGAGACAGGUCCAGGUCCAGGGACAGAGAAACAAAGCCAAUCAAAGAGGUGACCCACCACCCAGAAUUCCCUGGAAGUCUUCCGGCAGCCCACCAGCAUGGCUCGCAGACUCCACUCUCCCGCCACCAUCCACAGACACUGAGCCCGCCCGUGCGCAGGCGCAUUGCAAUGCUUGGCUGUCGGACUCCGGAGCUCAAGCCUAUUAAAAUUCUGCUGCUCCAGUGGCUGGGGAAGCAGAAAAUGAUCAGGACUUGAGUGGAGGGAGAGGAGGCACUCUAAUGACAUCAAUACCCGAGAGUCCCAGGCAGAGGAUGCCCCGCACAGGUCAGGGACUGCUCUCUGUCUUUGGCUUGUCUGGGAGAGGUUCCUCCCC